AACGAACGCUGGCGGCAGGCCUAACACAUGCAAGUCGAGCGCCCCGCAAGGGGAGCGGCGGACGGGUGAGUAACGCGUGGGAACGUACCUUUUGCUUCGGAAUAGCCUCGGGAAACUGGGAGUAAUACCGAAUGUGCCCUACGGGGGAAAGAUUUAUCGGCAAAAGAUCGGCCCGCGUUGGAUUAGGUAGUUGGUGGGGUAAUGGCCUACCAAGCCGACGAUCCAUAGCUGGUUUGAGAGGAUGAUCAGCCACACUGGGACUGAGACACGGCCCAGACUCCUACGGGAGGCAGCAGUGGGGAAUCUUAGACAAUGGGCGCAAGCCUGAUCUAGCCAUGCCGCGUGAGCGAUGAAGGCCUUAGGGUUGUAAAGCUCUUUCGUGGGGGAAGAUAAUGACUGUACCCCAAGAAGAAGCCCCGGCUAACUCCGUGCCAGCAGCCGCGGUAA
rnacentral:rRNA from 1 species